rfam:Kluyvera intermedia strain CAV1151, complete genome.
UUCCAAAAAAAGACCGAAUACGAUUCCUGUAUUCGGUCCAGGGAAAUGGCUCUUGGGAGAGAGCCGUGCGCUAAAAGUUGGCAUUAAUGCAGGCUAAGUCGCCUUGCACUUUAAGAAUAGAUGACGGCGCCAGGUUUUCCAGUUU